CAUCACAUUCUUUAUUUUGUAACAUGAACAUGAAUAUUUGGCAUCUCCUCUGUGUGGUGAUUGUCUUUCAGCAAGGUAUCAGUGGUGAUGACAUUCGAUUAGAUCAGUCACCUGCUGUGACAAAGAAACCCAGAGAAACAGUGAAGAUCUCCUGUAAAAUAUCUGGGUUUACAAUGACAGAGCACUACAUGCACUGGAUACGGCAGAAGCCUGGAAAAGCUCUGGAGUGGAUUGGGAGAGUUGACUCCGGCUCUGGUAGUGCUGAAUAUGCAGAUUCCAUGAAAAACCAAUUCACUCUGAGUGAGGACGUGUCUCAAAUAUGCAGUAUCUUGAAGCCAAGAGUCUGAGAGAAGAGGACACUGCUGUUUAUUACUGUGCUCGAGAGUCCACCGUGACUCCAUCUGAUGAAGCAGCUCUACAAGAACUCAGAAACACAGGGGACAGAGGGAGUUCUUGA